rnacentral:rRNA from 1 species
AGAGUUUGAUCCUGGCUCAGGAUGAACGCUAGCGGGAGGCUUAACACAUGCAAGUCGAGGGGCAGCGAGGGUAGCAAUAUCUGUCGGCGACCGGCGCACGGGUGNNNNNNNNNNNNNNNNNNNNNNNNNNNNNNNNNNNNNNNNNNNNNNNNNNNNNNNNNACCCCAUAACAUUAUGAAGUGGCAUCACUGGAUAUUUAAAGCUCCGGCGGUUAAAGAUGGGCAUGCGUGACAUUAGCUAGUUGGUGAGGUAACGGCUCACCAAGGCUACGAUGUCUAGGGGGUCUGAGAGGAUGAUCCCCCACACUGGUACUGAGACACGGACCAGACUCCUACGGGAGGCAGCAGUGAGGAAUAUUGGUCAAUGGGCGCAAGCCUGAACCAGCCAUCCCGCGUGCAGGAUGACAGCCUUAUGGGUUGUAAACUGCUUUUGUACAAGAAGAAACCCCUAUACGUGUAUAGGGUUGACUGUACUAUACGAAUAAGCAUCGGCUAACUCCGUGCCAGCAGCCGCGGUAAUACGGAGGAUGCAAGCGUUAUCCGGAUUUAUUGGGUUUAAAGGGUGCGUAGGCGGAAAACUAAGUCAGCGGUGAAAUCUUGCGGCUUAACUGCGGAACUACGUUUGAUACUGAUAGUCUUGAGUAUGGUUAAGGUAGGCGGAAUGUGUAAUGUAGCGGUGAAAUGCUUAGAUAUUACACAGAACACCGAUUGCGAAGGCAGCUUGCUAAACUGUGAUUGACGCUGAGGCACGAAAGCGUGGGGAUCAAACAGGAUUAGAUACCCUGGUAGUCCACGCCGUAAACGAUGAUCACUCGCUGUUUGCGAUAUACAGCAAGCGGCUGAGCGAAAGCAUUAAGUGAUCCACCUGGGGAGUACGAUCGCAAGGUUGAAACUCAAAGGAAUUGACGGGGGCCCGCACAAGCGGAGGAACAUGUGGUUUAAUUCGAUGAUACGCGAGGAACCUUACCUGGGCUUAAAUGGGGAACGACAGCUUGUGAAAGCGGGCUUCUAAUAGUCUGCUUACAAGGUGCUGCAUGGUUGUCGUCAGCUCGUGCCGUGAGGUGUCGGGUUAAGUCCCAUAACGAGCGCAACCCUUAUCGUUAGUUGCCAGCGGGUUAAGCCGGGGACUCUAGCGAGACUGCCGGUGACAAACCGGAGGAAGGUGGGGAUGACGUCAAAUCAGCACGGCCCUUAUGUCCAGGGCUACACACGUGUUACAAUGGCCGAUACAAAGGGCAGCUACUCCGCGAGGUGGAGCCAAUCUCUAAAGUCGGUCCCAGUUCGGAUUGGAGUCUGCAACCCGACUCCAUGAAGUUGGAUUCGCUAGUAAUCGCGCAUCAGCCAUGGCGCGGUGAAUACGUUCCCGGGCCUUGUACACACCGCCCGUCAAACCAUGGGAGCUGGGGGUGCCUGAAGUCUGCCACCGCAAGGAGCGGCCUAGGGUAAAACCAGUGACUGGGGUUAAGUCGUAACAAGGUAACC